rnacentral:rRNA from 1 species
UACAGAGGGUGCGAGCGUUAAUCGGAAUUACUGGGCGUAAAGGGCUCGUAGGCGGCCAACUAAGUCGGAUGUGAAAUCCCCAGGCUUAACCUGGGAACUGCAUCCGAUACUGGAUGGCUUGAAUCCGGGAGAGGGAUGCGGAAUUCCAGGUGUAGCGGUGAAAUGCGUAGAUAUCUGGAGGAACACCGGUGGCGAAGGCGGCAUCCUGGACCGGCAUUGACGCUGAGGAGCGAAAGCCAGGGGAGCAAACGGG